rnacentral:rRNA from 1 species
UACAGAGGGGGCAAGCGUUGUUCGGAAUUACUGGGCGUAAAGGGCGCGUAGGCGGCCUCCUAAGUCAGACGUGAAAUCCCUCGGCUCAACCGGGGAACUGCGUCUGAUACUGGGAGGCUUGAAUCCGGGAGAGGGAUGUGGAAUUCCAGGUGUAGCGGUGAAAUGCAUAGAUAUCUGGAGGAACACCGGUGGCGAAGGCGGCAUCCUGGACCGGUAUUGACGCUGAUGCGCGAAAGCCAGGGGAGCAAACGGG